GCGGCGAUAAUAUAGCCUGGUUAGUAUGAUGGCUUGCCAAGCCAUCUGCCCGGGUUCAAAUCCCGGUCGCCGCA
rnacentral:tRNA from 2 species